rnacentral:rRNA from 1 species
UACAGAGGGUGCGAGCGUUACUCGGAAUUAUUGGGCGUAAAGAGCGUGUAGGCGGCCAGGUAGGUCUGCUGUGAAAACUCGAGGCUCAACCUCGAGACGUCGGCGGAAACCAUCUGGCUAGAGUCCGGAAGAGGAGAGUGGAAUUCCUGGUGUAGCGGUGAAAUGCGCAGAUAUCAGGAGGAACACCGGUGGCGAAGGCGGGUCUCUGGGCAACAACUGACGCUGAGGAGCGAAAGCGUGGGGAGCGAACAGG